CUGUCAAAACACAUUGGAUACAACAAACUGCCUCUUUAGAACAUAGAAGUGGUUUCAUAUUCCCUCUAUUGCAACUCAGCCUCUUCUAUGGAAGUCCUGCAAUUUGGAGAUCACACAGAUUUGUCUGUGUGCCUGGCAUUCACACAGCCCAAGAAGUGACUGCCUGAUAUAGGCACCAUGUCAGGAGAGAGCUCUGUGCUCAGACUGGAAAAGGUUGCAGUUACCCAGGGCACACAAGACAGACACACAGAGAGAAGAUGAAAUCUUUCAACAGGAGACUGAUGACCAUAAAGCAGAGUGUCAUGAUCACGGAACGGCAGCACUGAUUCAGUGCGGCAGCAGGUCAGCAGGG